AAGAGAUAUUAAUUUCAUUCACUCACCCUCAUGCCAUCCCAGAUUGUUUUUCUUCUUCAGAACAAAAUCGAAGAUUUGUUGAAGAAAAGCUCAGCUCUGUAUCUCCAUACCAGGCAAGUGAAUGGUGACUAGAACUCCAAAAGCUACAAAAAGCAGCUUUUUGAAGGCUGGUAUUCCGGUCGAGAAGGUCCGUGAUGUCACUAUUGGCAUUGGAAUUAGCAUCAGAGGUUCUCACCUCCAUAACCUGUGGCCUGUUCAUUGAUAGUGUCGGGAGGAGG